AUUUAAUCCACAGAACAACUCCUGGUGGAGCCAUCGUUAGCCCAAUUUUACAGCUGAGGAAACCGACAUGCACAGAAGUUACGCACAUUGGAUCAGGCCACACAGCUGGAAACCCAGAUGAGCAGGAAGACACGCGCUCGGGGCUGGAGACGUGCACACCCGGGGAAGGAGGUGCACAGCCCGCGUCCUCAGUUCCUCCGCAAAGUCAGCUUCGCCGCAGCCCACCUCCCACCCAGGACCGGCCCCAAAGCCCUUCUCGAUUACCUCGAAAGGAUCUCCGGCACUGAAGUCGAAGGAGAGGAUGAGGUGAACCUCCCGCGUCGGGGGCAGCACGAGUGGGAAGGGAGUGUUGAUGGCUAAACCAGCAUCCACCAGGUGGAGGUGCUUCCGGCUGCUCAUUAUCUUGUCCCGGAUGCCACCUGUGGUGCCCAGGAAGAAAGAGGAUCAGCUGCUUCUGGGGACUGAAAGCAAGACUUGGAAAUGGAAGGCAGAGAGGGGGAUGGGAAAAUGAUCGUUGUCAGU
ensembl:lncRNA PLA2G4C-AS1 PLA2G4C antisense RNA 1